UAAGUUGAUAGUGAAAGCGUGCGGCUCAACCGCAUACACAUUAUCAAAACUGCAAAGCUAGAGGACGAGAGAGGUUAUUGGAAUUCCUAGUGUAGGAGUGAAAUCCGUAGAUAUUAGGAGGAACACCGAUGGCGUAGGCAGAUAACUGGCUCGUUCCUGACACUAAGGCACGAAAGCGUGGGUAGCAAACGGGAUUAGAUACCCCGGUAGUCCGCGCCGUAAACGAUGGAUACUA
rnacentral:rRNA from 1 species